rfam:Aedes albopictus isolate Foshan contig123026, whole genome shotgun sequence.
ACAAUGAUGAAUAAACUUAUCACCAUCUUUCGACUGAUCAAAUCGUGACUGUCAAUAUAGUUUCCAUACUGAUGCCAUGU